CUCAUGCUUGAGGGUCUCGCCCAACGGCCGAGUCGCGUGCUCCUCCACAUCACAUGUACAGUGCUGUCAGUUCUAGUUGAAAGCCCUCGACCUCGUGUUUAUCCGCGCCGUGGUCAUCAGUUGGUUGAUAUUAUGUCAGCAUGCAAGCAAGAAUGGUCUUUACCGACAUUUGCUGUACUCUAUUGUUUCUUGUGUUUGCGACUCUCUCUCCCUCCAACGUAGUUCAACCACAAGAACAGUCUUUAUUGGGUCUGCGAGCACGCACGAAACCCUGCUAUCGACUAUGUCGGGUCUGAGCAGUGCCCUGGUGCACCGGUGACGGAGACUUUCAACACCGCGCAGCGAAUGCUGUCGUCAAAGGCGCAAUACAACCCUGAACCCUUGUUCUUCCGGUGAUGCUUCCACUAUCCGCCGUUCGAGCCACGAAUGGCAAAAUGUCGUGUUGUCACAAUGUGAGUGUGACCUAAUGCGCAGGAAAGUGAACACUCUAUUCCAGACCAGAGUCCAGACUCCAGAGGCAGAAGAGUAACUACUUGCUACGGGUACAGUUUGUCAGCGGAGGCAAAGGAAAAGCAGGUGUCUUUAGCAGCUGAGCUCCCACAAUGAAAAGAAACUAACCCACGCCCAGAUGGUAUUGACAGGCGAUAUGUUCUCUCGGCCCAUAAAUGUCCUGGAGUGGCAUGAAAUGCAGUGCCACAGCUACAUGUAUAUCAUGUAUAUCCGCAGUCCCUGGUUUUUAUAUUUAUGGAGAUAUCGUUCUUGCCAGCUGCUCCAGAACGACGUUUCUCUCGGGGACCUCCGGUGCAAGAUUGACGUGCGACAGUCAAUGAUGUAAUGCGUAUCUGCAGCCCAAAUGCCGGCGCUGCCAUGAACGACAGAUUCUACGAUGGCCAGAGUCGACGCGCUUGAACAGCGUUCGGGAUCUGCAAUCACGCGAAUGACGAUUGACCGCUUGUACGGCUGAAUGGUGGCGAGAAAUUCUCUGACGAAAGACUUCGCCACGCAGCGAUUGGUAGCGGCCCUUUGAUGAUGCCCGUCACACCGAGGAAUGCGUAUCAUCCCCAGUACACUGUAUCAGCAUGACACCAACUUUUGUGACCAAGGAAAAGGGCCAGCGAGCGGUGCGUGCGUGCGUCUGUGAGCUGACAGCGUGCGCCUGUGCACCUUUUCGGCCAUGGGCAUGGUGCAUCGUGUUUGAUCGGCGGAAGGACGCAUGCAAAGCGGAUAAACAUCCACGGCCACAGAGCUACGGUGAGCGUGAGGUUGUGCGUGGAGAGGCCUGGAUGUGACGUAGCUGACUGCACCUGCACCAUCUAGUAAGUCUAAUUGAGCUCUGCUGAAUCUUGCCCCAUCGCCACAACAGUCCUGAAUAUUCACGGUUCGCCAGGCUGUUCGGCACAAACUGAAGCAUGCAGGUUCAGUGGCCAAGAUCAUCUCCACACCGUUGCAUGGUUGGCAGAGGAAGCAACUUGGUCAAGUACGGCUGUACCUCGUCGUGCUGUGCUUCCUGUCAUCCUGUACCAAUACUGACCCAACGGCCGUGUAAACUGAGCUGGAGCGCCGCAAAAAUUCUCUCAUUUUCCGCUCCUGCCCCUGCUUUUCCUGCUACCCUAAUCACCUCCUCAGUUCACUGCUCUGAGAUAUUUGUCAUCAGGCUGUUUAAACGACAUGUUUUUCUACAGAUUUUCUUAUCGCUGGACACGUCCUGUUCAGCGUUCUACUUCCUAAACAUUCUGGUUGUUUAGAAUGUGUGACUCUGCCCGUG